rnacentral:lncRNA from 1 species
UUACAUGAUGAUUGUACAAACCCAUUUGCCCAGGCCCAACAAAAUAAAUAAGAAGCCCAAAACAUAAAAAAGGGCAUAGCCCAGACCCGAUGCAAGAAGGUUUCAGAACUCCAGUCCCUCCUCCAGCGCCGCGCCACCUGCUACCAUGUGCGUCUGACGCCUCCUGCCACCGCCGUACGGUCGCCUACAGACACGCAAGAAGAAAAGCAGAAGCAGACAAGACUAGACAAAAAAAUUUAGCUUUCUCUCGGCUAUAAAGCCGAAUAUUGUAAAAUGUAAACGGAGGGGAUUUUGUAUGAAAAGAGAUUAAAAAAUAGAAUACAAAAAGAGGUGAUUUUUCCUUUCUUAUGAUUCUGUUCUUUUUUUUUUUGAGAUCUACUUUUUUAUUUAUUUUGUUUUAAGAAAGUAAAAAUAAAAAAGGAGAAAAGGAAAAGCUUACCUGAAUCGGCCCUUAGAUCUGUCGUUAUCGGCCCUUCGCCGCCGACGGAUUCGGGUUUAGGGAAGGGCUAAGGCCUUUUUUCUCCUUGUUUCCCCGUUCUAAAAUUUUGGUCUUUGAACACGUUUCAAAAUGCUGAUCGGGAACGCCCUCGUGCGACGCCGGCCGUCGAUCACGGUGGUGCAAGCAACGGCAUUGUUGGCCGGACUUGGAGAGGACGAGAGAGAGGUUUUCAAACUCUCUGUUUCUUUUUUAAAAGGGGUGGC